rnacentral:ribozyme from 14 species
AAUGAAAAUGCUAAAAAAAAUGAAGAAUAUAUAAUGAAGAAUAUAUAUGUAAUGAUAUGAUACAAAUAAAUAAAUUAUAACAAGGUUCCUAAAAAUUCUAGACCCUUCUUUUUCUAUUUCUUUUGCUUUUUUUCC